AUUGAACGCUGGCGGCAGGCUAAACACAUGCAAGUCGAGCGGGGUGAUGGUGCUUGCACUAUCACUUAGCGGCGGACGGGUGAGUAAUGCUUAGGAAUCUGCCUAUUAGUGGGGGACAACAUCCCGAAAGGGAUGCUAAUACCGCAUACGUCCUACGGGAGAAAGCAGGGGAUCACUUGUGACCUUGCGCUACUAGAUGAGCCUAAGUCGGAUUAGCUAGUUGGUGGGGUAAAGGCCUACCAAGGCGACGAUCUGUAGCGGGUCUGAGAGGAUGAUCCGCCACACUGGGACUGAGACACGGCCCAGACUCCUGCGGGAGGCAGCAGUGGGGAAUAUUGGACAAUGGGGGGAACCCUGAUCCAGCCAUGCCGCGUGUGUGAAGAAGGCCUUAUGGUUGUAAAGCACUUUAAGCGGGGAGGAGGCUCUUUUGGUUAAUACCCAAGAUGAGUGGACGUUACUCGCAGAAUAAGCACCGGCUAACUCUGUGCCAGCCGCCGCCGUAA
rnacentral:rRNA from 1 species